CAGUAGCCGCGGGAACACGUAGGGUGCAAGCGUUAAUCGGAAUUACUGGGCGUAAAGCGUGCGCAGGCGGUUUUGUAAGACAGAGGUGAAAUCCCCGGGCUCAACCUGGGAACUGCCUUUGUGACUGCAAGGCUAGAGUACGGCAGAGGGGGAUGGAAUUCCGCGUGUAGCAGUGAAAUGCGUAGAUAUGCGGAGGAACACCGAUGGCGAAGGCAAUCCCCUGGGCCUGUACUGACGCUCAUGCACGAAAGCGUGGGGAGCAAACAGGAUUAGAUACCCCUGUAGUCCCUGUCUCUUAUAC
rnacentral:rRNA from 1 species